rnacentral:rRNA from 1 species
UGAGCAAUCUGCCCUUCACAUCGGGAUAACCCCCGGAAACGGGAGCUAAUACCGGAUACGACCACUUCAGGCAUCUGAUGGUGGUGGAAAGUUCCGGCGGUGAAGGAUGAGCUCGCGGCCUAUCAGCUUGUUGGUGAGGUAAUGGCCCACAAGGCUUCGACGGGUAGCCGGCCUGGAGGGGGUGACCGGCCAUACUGGGACUGAGAUACGGCCCAGACUCCGUACG